AGAUUAUCCCUCCCUAGCUUCCCUACAAUAAGCGAGGGACACGCUAAUUAUAAGAAAUAGUCCCUCGCCAACUUUAUAAGAAAAUAAAAAAUAAUUAUAUAAUGUAAUUUCUUUUAUUUAAUUUUUUCAAUUAAAUAUUUAUAUUAAAAUUGAAAGCUUAAAAAGGAAUACAAGAGGCAGACCCUCAAAAUAAGAACCCAUUUAUAAG
rnacentral:lncRNA from 1 species